ACGGAUGGGUAUAAAGUUCGGACCGGACCGGACCGCCGGACCAAAUAUACGGAGUAAAUUUACUGCCGGACUGAAGAAUACGGGUCCGAGUUUUAUGCAUACGCUCUGGAGGCUUUUGGUGCAUAUAAUUCGGACCGGACCAUUAGCGAAAGAACUUUUAAAUUUCAGAUCAACUACAGAUAAAAUAGCAAGACAUGAUGAAAGUCAACCAUUUGAAUGCUAGCCUGACAACUGAUAGCUCAAGCUCUGACGAAAAUGAUGCAACAUUGCUGUAGCAAAUAUGGCUGUAAUCUUUAUUAUUGUAAAUGUGAUUAAACUGUUUUUAAUAAAGAAUUAUAUAUAUAAAUGAAUGUUGAUAAUUAGCUAUUUAAUUAAUUUUUUUAAGAAUUAAAUUUUAAAGUGA